CCUACGGGUGGCAGCAGUGGGGAAUAUUGCACAAUGGGGGAAACCCUGAUGCAGCAACGCCGCGUGAAGGAAGACGGUAUUCGGAUUGUAAAACUCUGUUAUUAGUGAAGAAAAAUGACGGAAGCUAAGGAGCAACCCACGGCAAAUUACGUGCCACCAGCCGGGGUAAUCUGAAGGUGGCAAGCGUUGCCCGGAAUUAUGGGGUGUAAGGGGAGUGCAGGCGGGAAGCCAAGCCUGCUGUGAAAACUACGGGCUUAACUUCUGGACUGACGUGGAAACUGUUUUGCUGGAGUGAAGGAGAGGUAGGCGGAAUUCCGAGUGUAGCGGUGAAAUGCGGAGAUAUUCGGAGGAACACCGGUGGCGAAGGCGGCCUACUGGACUUUAACUGACGUUGAGGCUCGAAAGUGUGGGGAGCAAACAGGAUUAGAUACCCGUGUAGUC
rnacentral:rRNA from 1 species